rnacentral:piRNA from 1 species
UGGAAGCAGUAUAUGUCUGGCAGUGC